UUAUAUAUAUAAUAAUUAAUUAAAACAAAAAAAAAACAAAAAAAUAUAAAAAGAAAAGGGGGAGGCGCUCGGCAGCCCCCCCCCAAAUCAGAAAAUCUCUCUCUCUCUCUCUCUUUUAUUUUCUCUUGAUUUCCUCUCGGAUUAUCUUCGAUUCCAAGCGAUCCGGCCGUUCGAUCGUUGAUCCGACUUCGCUUUCACCGUUAAAGUGCCCCCGAUCUACAAGGAGCCUAUAAGUGGGUGUGUAGUUCCACUAUACACUUACGCGUAGCAAGCAAAGCGAGACAUGAUGACGUAGUCGAUGGCUUAGCUCGACGAAUUCCAUGACGCCAGAUUUGAAUAUUGCGCGGGCCAAGGCUCAGAUUCUCAGGAUUUUGUUCGAUCUUCUCCCCAGACUCGGACUUGAGUCAUCAUUUCCCAGGCGAGUAGACAGGAUAUGUUAUGAUUACCUUAUAUUAUGCACGUAUAUACUGUUUUAUUCAUAAAUAUUAUAACCUUGUAUAAAUUUUUAUAUGCAUAACUCGUACAUGAUUUUUAUAUGCGGAUCAUAGAAAAAUACUCUUAAAUGUUUCUAAUUUGCAUGAAAUAUUUUCAUCCUACUGGGAGAGACAUAAACUGAAAGAUACCCUAAUUGAUUUCUUGUUUUGAGAAUGUGAAUUAUUGAAUGAUAUGGUGUAUUUUAGGCACCACAUGAAAUGAUAAAUGAUUAUGACUUGUGCAUAAAUUAGGGUAUUAUUUGCAUUAUUAUCAGAGGACUAUCUAGUAGAUUCCCUGGUGACUCACAGCAGGAAAAGAUCAUGGUACUGUGAGGCUUGGCAUGCCAAGGCCAUGAGAGACACGGAUAGUAUGUUUCAGCACUGCUAUCACGUGGGCCUUUAUGAUGAUAUUGUGUGAUGAUGAUGUAUGUGCCGAUAUAUAUACUUGUGUGCAUGUGUAUAUAGGCGUUAGGCCAGUUUCUACUAGUGUGUCCUCAGAAUCAGUGCAUGCAUCUCAUACAAAAGUAUAGGGGACUUGGGUGGUUAGGGAACAACUUAUGGGGGUUGUCUUUAAGCACCUAUUUUUCCUACACUAUGUUUUUCUUUGAAAUCUCAAAUUAUUUAACUUAUGGUUUAUAAUUCCACUGUUUAUACUGUUAUUACGUUAUUAUAC